rnacentral:misc_RNA from 1 species
AAAUAGAAACCAAAUCCAUAGGACAUAUAUCUUUUUAACAGCAAUAAUUCCAAUCUAACAGAUGAGAGGUAAUAUUCCAGAAAAAAAUAUUCGAAACUUCGAUUCAUCAGCGAAAUGAAAGACAAUCAAAACGAAACAGUGUCAAAACUGCUUCUUUAGAAACUUAAGAGGCUGCAGCAGUACCCUUCUUCCUUGGAGCUGCUUCA